CCUGGAAACCUCACCGUAACGAGACUUGGUCUCCCAGAAUCCACUGCGUGAGAUACGCACUAACGGCAACAAUCGCAGACCGGAACGAGUUUAUAGAUCUGGAGCGAGGAAGUUAUUUAGAAAUAUUAAGUUUGGCGAAAAAAGGCUGCAACCUUCUCUGAGGUUUACCCAUAAACGAAAGGAGAACGUGAGUGCCUGGCACCCCAAACGAAUACGAUCGCUGUUCUCAGUGCAUGCUUUUAAGGCUUUCUAGGAGACAAAGAAUCAGGCUUUUCAAAGGGAAUAGAACAUUUGGUAUCGCCAAGUAGGGUUGCCGACGUUUCAACGAAAAACCCUUCGGUAAUUGUAGUUUCCUGUUCUUUUGUCGAAGGAGAGAAUCACUGCAGCAGAGCUUUGAUAACAGAAAAAAGACUUAUGAGAAAAUUAUUUCGUGUCAUAUCUGUGUUUUGUUUUGUUUUGGGAGAUAAAGACCAAUUACUGAGCAUUACCAUUGAAAAAGUCAAUUUGUGAAAAGCGCUUAGAACAGCGCCUGAUAAAAAUGUGCUGUGUAAGUGUUUGUUAAAUUAGAAAUAAAUACAAACCGAACAACGGGCAAUCCUCAGCUCAGGGUCCCUUCUCUCUUCCCGCCACCUCCCCGCUCUCUAGACCCGCUCCCUCCUUUGCAUUCUUUUUUUGUCCCACAAAGGAAACUGCUAAUGUCUUCAUGUUUAAAUAAAUCUUUUGUUGCGAUAGCGUUCUGAUUUAUAAAUACAAGAGUUACAAUCACAGUCUGGAAUAUUUGCAUUGAUUAUGUAACAACAGCCUUAUGACCAAGAGGGCUUGCCAAAGCAAUGCAUCCCCUUGCAAAGAAUCUUCCUCAAAUACAAAUUCCGACAUCGACCUUGGUCUGAUGUUCCCUUGUGAUUAGAUUCAAGUUAUGCAUCCUCUAUGGAAACAAGCACAUAAGUGAAGUUGUGUCCUCAGGAUAUUACAGCCAGAGGCACAGGAUGUCUAUCCAUUAUAAGGUGAUGUUAAGCUUUACCACUCAAUCAAGGUGUCCAGUUUCUCCACUGUGUAUUUUCCCCCUUGCAACUACUGAGGAAUCUGUGAGGAGAUUCUUUGAGACCGAGCAAAUAUCUUACUCCUAAUUAAACUCUACUUUGUGGUUCACCUUCUAUUGAUUCUUGCUGCAACCCAUCUUUACAAUGAUGGUUACAAAUUGUUGAUUUUUUUUUAACUCCUUCAAGCCCUCCAUAUUUAUUAGUCCUGAUGCUGCUAUAAAGAAGAGCCCUCCUUAUUUUUGUUAUAAUUAAUGAACCAAUAUUGAUACAUUAAUAUUAACUAUGGUCCAUAGUUAUUUAGAUUUCCUUAGUUUUUACCUAAUGUCCUUUCUGUUCCAGGAUACUGUGUUAUAUGUAGUUGUCAUUUCUCCUUAGGCUCCUGUUGGCUGUGACAGUUUCUCAGACUCUACUUGUUUUUAUGACCUUGACAAUUUUGAGGAAAACUGGUCAGGUAUCAUGCAGGAUGCCUUUCUAUUAGAAUUUAUCUGAUGUUUUCCUCAUGAUUAGACUGGGGUUAUGGGUUUUUGUGAGGAAGAUCACAGAGGUAAAGUGUCAUUUUCAUCAUGUCAUAGCAAGGGUGCACACUGCCAACAUAAUUAAUGAUUGUUUAUGUUGAACUUGAUCACCAAAACGUAGUGUUUGGCAGGUUUCUCCAACGUAAAUUUGCUCUUUUUUCCCCUUUCCAUACUGGACUCCUUGGAAGGAAGUCACCGUGCACAGCACACAUUUCUAGAGUUGGCUAUCUCUAAAACCAAAGGAGAUAAAAGAUGAACUGAUCCACAUGGAACUUACGAGAACACCUUCUGAAGGUUCUCAGUGAUGAGAUGGGAGGACAGUACUUGGUUGUGGGCUGAAGAAUGGAACAUCACAAACAUGGCAACAGCAGCAUGGGUGUGUGUAGAUAAGUGAGGGGAAUUGUGAAUAAAUGCUAUAUAUCCCAGAUAAAAUUAACACAAGCAAAAUGGGAUGGGCAGGGAAGAUUAUUUUCUGUUUUAGAUAUGUUUAGUUUGAGAGAGUGGAUUCUUCUAAAUGAGAUUCCUAAUAGGCAGUUGGAAAUGUGUGACUUAGGUCAGGAAAGAAAACAGAGCAGGAGAUAAUUUGGUUGUCCGCUACCUAGUGCCUAAUGAUCAGUAAAGCUAUAACUGAAUGAGAUACUCCAGGGGAAAACACAUAGAAUCAGAAAAACAAGAAGCUCAGAACUAGUUCUUGACGUCAAGAAGAAAAAUUUAAAAACAACUUAAUGUCCAUCAACAGAAGACUUAUUAAACAAUGGUGGUACAUUCACACAAUGGAAUACUAUGUAGCAGAAAAAAAGAAUGAGGAAGUUCUUUCUGUAUUUAUAUAGAAUGAUCUUUUUGUGUG